rnacentral:rRNA from 2 species
AACGUAGGGGGCGAGCGUUGUCCGGAAUUACUGGGCGUAAAGGGCGCGUAGGCGGUUAUUUAAGUCAGAGGUGAAAACUACCGGCUCAACCGGUAGCCUGCCUUUGAAACUGGAUGACUUGAGGGCAGGAGAGGGGAGUGGAAUUCCCAGUGUAGCGGUGAAAUGCGUAGAUAUUGGGAGGAACACCAGUGGCGAAGGCGGCUCUCUGGCCUGUUUCUGACGCUGAGGCGCGAAAGCGUGGGGAGCAAACGGG